GGAGGGGUACCAAAGCGGUCAACUGGGGCGGACUGUAAAUCCGUUGGCGUGGCCUUCGUAGGUUCGAAUCCUACCCCCUCCA
rnacentral:tRNA from 1 species